GAUGAAGAACGUAGCGAAAUGCGAUACGUAAUGUGAAUUGCAGAAUUCAGUGAAUCAUCGAGUCUUUGAACGCACAUUGCGCCCCCUGGUAUUCCGGGGGGCAUGCCUGUCCGAGCGUCAUUUCAACCCUCAUGCCCCUAGGGCGUGGUGUUGGGGAUCGGCCAAAGCCCGCGAGGGACGGCCGGCCCCUAAAUCUAGUGGCGGACCCGUCGUGGCCUCCUCUGCGAAGUAGUGAUAUUCCGCAUCGGAGAGCGAUGAGCCCCUGCCGUUAAACCCCCAACUUUCCAAGGUUGACCUCAGAUCAGGUAGGAAUACCCGCUGAACUUAAGCAUAUCAAUAAGCGGAGGA
rnacentral:misc_RNA from 1 species